rnacentral:rRNA from 1 species
UGGGGAAUAUUGGACAAUGGGGGCAACCCUGAUCCAGCAAUGCCACGUGUGCGAUGAAGGCCUUCGGGUUGUAAAGCACUUUAGUGAGGAAGGAAGGUUGCUGUGCUAAUACCACAGUAAUUUGACAGUACCUCAAGAAUAAGCACCGGCAAACUCUGUGCCAGCAGCCGCGGUAAUACAGAGGGUGCGAGCGUUAAUCGGAAUUAUUGGGCGUAAAGGGCUUGUAGGUGGUUCUAUAAGUUAGAUGUGAAAACCCUGGGCUUAACCUGGGACGUGCAUUUAAUACUGUAGGGCUAGAGUAUGGUAGAGGAAAGGGGAAUUCCUGGUGUAGCAGUGAAAUGCGUAGAGAUCAGGAGGAACAUCAGUGGCGAAGGCGCCUUUCUGGACUAAUACUGACACU